rnacentral:rRNA from 1 species
AGCUUGCUCCUGGAUUAGUGGCGAACGGGUGAGUAACACGUGAGUAACCUGCCCUUAACUCUGGGAUAAGCCUGGGAAACUGGGUCUAAUACCGGAUAUGACUCCUCAUCGCAUGGUGGGGGGUGGAAAGCUUUUUGUGGUUUUGGAUGGACUCGCGGCCUAUCAGCUUGUUGGUGAGGUAAUGGCUUACCAAGGCGACGACGGGUAGCCGGCCUGAGAGGGUGACCGGCCACACUGGGACUGAGACACGGCCCAGACUCCUACGGGAGGCAGCAGUGGGGAAUAUUGCACAAUGGGCGCAAGCCUGAUGCAGCGACGCCGCGUGAGGGAUGACGGCCUUCGGGUUGUAAACCUCUUUCAGUAGGGAAGAAGCGAAAGUGACGGUACCUGCAGAAGAAGCGCCGGCUAACUACGUGCCAGCAGCCGCGGUAAUACGUAGGGCGCAAGCGUUAUCCGGAAUUAUUGGGCGUAAAGAGCUCGUAGGCGGUUUGUCGCGUCUGCCGUGAAAGUCCGGGGCUCAACUCCGGAUCUGCGGUGGGUACGGGCAGACUAGAGUGAUGUAGGGGAGACUGGAAUUCCUGGUGUAGCGGUGAAAUGCGCAGAUAUCAGGAGGAACACCGAUGGCGAAGGCAGGUCUCUGGGCAUUAACUGACGCUGAGGAGCGAAAGCAUGGGGAGCGAACAGGAUUAGAUACCCUGGUAGUCCAUGCCGUAAACGUUGGGCACUAGGUGUGGGGGACAUUCCACGUUUUCCGCGCCGUAGCUAACGCAUUAAGUG